rnacentral:rRNA from 2 species
AAUGAUUUCUUCGGAAUGAACUUAAGUGGAUUAGUGGCGGACGGGUGAGUAACGCGUGAGUAACCUGCCUUACACAAGGGGAUAGCCGUUGGAAACGACGAAUAAUACCCUAUGAAACUAUCACUUCGCAUGAAGCGAUAGUCAAAGUGUUAGCGGUGUAAGAUGGACUUGCGUCUGAUUAGCUAGUUGGUGAGAAAAAAGCCCACCAAGGCAACGGUCAGUAGCCGGCUUGAGAGAGUGUACGGCCACAUUGGGACUGAGACACGGCCCAGACUCCUACGGGAGGCAGCAGUGGGGAAAUUUGCACAAUGGGGGAAACCCUGAUGCAGCGACGCCGCGUGAUUUAGAAGGCCUUCGGGUUGUAAAAAUCUUUUGUAUAGGAAGAAAAUGACAGUACUAUACGGAUAAGGUCCGGCUAAUUACGUGCCAGCAGCCGCGGUAAUACGUAAGGACCGAGCGUUGUCCGGAAUCAUUGGGCGUAAAGGGUACGUAGGCGGGUCAUUAAGUUAGAAGUCAAAGGCUAUAGCUCAACUAUAGUAAGCUUCUAAAACUGGCGACCUUGAGUAAUGGAAGGGAAAGUGGAAUUCCUAGUGUAGCGGUGGAAUGCGCAGAUAUUAGGAGGAAUACCGGUGGCGAAGGCGACUUUCUGGCCAUUA